UUUGAAUUAACGAAUCCGUGUUUCGGGUAUAGAGAGAAAAGGAGAGAUAUCUAGGAUAUAGAAAGUGGAAUAAGAACAAGUUGACGGAGGACGAAGGAGCGUGUCCGCUUGGUUGAACGAAAGAAGAAGAAAUGGAAGUAUGGAAAGUGCAGCUGGACGAGCUAACAAGUUGAUGCAACAUUCGACGACGUGAGGAUGGAAAGAAUUCUGGAAAAUUAUAACAAUAUCCAAGGAACAAGGGGGCCGGAAAAUCAACGAUAAAAUCGACGGCUAAGAUGACGAAGUCAGCGAAGUCAUGGACCCGAACCGCUCCA